rnacentral:tRNA from 1 species
GGGGGCAUAGCUCAGUUGGUAGAGCACCAGCUUUGCAAGCUGGGAGUCAGGGGUUCGAGUCCCCUUGCCUCCA